AGGGAUCAUUACAGAGUUCGUGCCCUUACGGGUAGAUCUCCCACCCUGUGUUAUCGUUACCUUUGUUGCUUUGGCGGGCCGCCCGGCCUCGGUCAGGCUACCGGCUCACGCUGGUAAGCGCCCGCCAGAGGACCCAAAACUCUGAAUGUUAGUGUCGUCUGAGUACUAUAUAAUAGUUAAAACUUUCAACAACGGAUCUCUUGGUUCUG
rnacentral:misc_RNA from 1 species